rnacentral:tRNA from 1 species
GGGCGCUUAGUUUAAUGGUAAAACGUCUCGUUUACACCGAGAAGACCAGGGGUCCGAUUCCCUUAGCGCCCACAA